rnacentral:lncRNA from 1 species
CUCCGCAAAACCCCAGGGAAUAGAGAAGACAGAGUACAAAUCUGUCUAGGGUAGGGACUGUACUUGUUUGCUGUGGCCGUUGUACCAAAUUACCACAAAACAUGGUGGCUUAACAUAACACAAUUUAUUCUCUCACAGUUCUGGAGGCUAGAAGUCCAAAUUCAACUUUAUUGGGCUGAAAUCAAAGAGUCAGGAGGAUACCUGUGAUGGCAUUUAGGCCCACCUGGGUGAGCCAGGACACUCUCUCCAUCUCAAGAUCCUUACUUGAAUCACAUCUGCAAAGCCCUCUUUCUGCCAGGCAAGAAGCAGGAUUGCAGGCCACCUUUUGCAGGCCCAGCCCAGGUUUGGAACAAGGCUUCCUCUGCAAAAGCUGGAUGCUGUGAGCUCUGUCAGCUGCAAUGCUCUACCCCACACCUGCCUGGGUUUCCGGAGUGCAUACUCUAUUUGGGAGCAAUGCCUGCCUUGAACUCCAACAGUAUUUUGUCAGCAUCUUUCCCCAAAGACUAAACUCUACAGCCUAUAUCAAGUAUCAGCCACUGGGUGAGUUUCUGCCUUGAUAUGGGGAGGGAUUGUGAUGAUGUUGCCACUCACUCACUGAUCUCUGCCAGAGACUCCUGAGGCCCUCACCACCCACCAGAUUAGACCUUUCUGAAAUCGAGGCAGACAAUCAAGUUCAAGUGUGCUAUACCCCUUAGACAUUGUGACUUGGGCUCUUCACAACCUCUAAAGGGCCAAUCCUCACAGCCAGGCUAAUUUCCUCAUCCCCAAGCCCACUAUUCCUGGCAAAAGCCUCACAUCCUACUGGCAUAGCAGCCAGGUCCCAACACAGCUCAUGGUCAAUGCUCAUAUGACACCCACACGAUUCACUGAUGGCAAUUGUCAUUUGGGUCAAACUGCCCAUUUCUCUACCAUUGUGACUCCAGCGGCCAUAUCCAAAUGUAUAUCACAAUGUUUCCUCUUCUGCUUUGGCUCUCUUGUUCACAAUCACAAAACAGUACCAUGUUAGUUCUGGAAGUUUAAUGUAAAUAGCUCACCAGGUUAUAUAAGGAAGGUGACUUCUAACCACUCUUUCAAAUGUUUUUCAAGUAUUUCUAAGGCAUUCUCUCUCUCUCUCUCUCUCAC